CCCUUAGAUGUUCUGGGCUGCACGCGCGCUACACUGAUGCGCUCAACGAGUCCAAAACCUUGAUUGAUAGGUCUGGGUAAUCUUUUGAAUACGUAUCGUGCUAGGGAUAGAUUAUUGCAAUUAUUAAUCUUGAACGAGGAAUUCCUAGUAAACGCAAGCCAUCAGCUUGCAUUGAUUACGUCCCUGCCCUUUGUACACACCGCCCGUCGCACCUACCGAUUGAAGGACUCGGUGAAAAAUUGGGACUGUGAUUGAAAUUGCUUCAUUGCGAAUUUAAUCAUGGAAACUUUCUUUAACCUAGGCAUUUAGAGGAAGGUGAAGUCGUAACA
rnacentral:rRNA from 1 species